AUGGUACUAAGCACCAACAGAGUAGUAAUAAUUCAUAUCAAUCAGGGUGGAAGGAAGCGAGGAAUUGAUUUCUUGCGAUGCUCUCGCCGUCAAAUUCAGAAGUACUCGUAUCAAUUCAGGCAAAUCAAUCAACUAGUAGGAGUAAUAAUUAGUAUCAAGGUUGCUGCUCAAGGAAAUCGGCAAGCACCAACGGCAGCAACGAUAGGAACAAGGUGCAGGAGAGGAAGAUCCACCAGCCUGUCGGGACGACGCGGCGGUCAACCACGACGAGAGGAACAGGAACAGCGGCAACCUCGUCGCGCUCUCGGAUGA
rnacentral:rRNA from 1 species